UGGGGAAUAUUGGGCAAUGGGCGCAAGCCUGACCCAGCAACGCCGCGUGAAUGAUGAAGGUCUUCGGAUUGUAAAGUUCUGUGAUGGGGGACGAAGAAAGUGACGGUACCCCAAUAGCAAGCCUCGGCUAACUACGUGCCAGCAGCCGCGGUAAUACGUAGGAGGCAAGCGUUGUCCGGAAUGACUGGGCGUAAAGGGUGCGUAGCCGGCUUUUCAAGUUGGUAGCGUAAUUCCGGGGCUUAACCUCGGCGCUACUACCAAAACUGUUAAGCUUGAGUGCAGGAGAGGUAAGUGGAAUUCCUAGUGUAGCGGUGGAAUGCGUAGAUAUUAGGAGGAACACCAGUGGCGAAGGCGACUUACUGGACUGUAACUGACGGUGAGGCACGAAAGCGUGGGGAGCAAACAGG
rnacentral:rRNA from 2 species